GAAAUCGUUGUGGCUCAGACACAAGAAGAAGAAGAGCCAACAGAAAGCUUCUGCCUGGUACAACCAAUUGAAAUUGGCCAAGUCAUCAGCCAAG